UGUCUUUUUGAAAAUAAUAUAAAGUCUAAUCUGCCCACUGAUUAAAUAAUUAAAGGGCUGCAGUAUAUUGACUGUACAAAGGUAGCAUAAUCAUUAGUCAUUUAAUUGAUGACUUGUAUGAAGGAUUUGAUGAAAUAUAAACUGUCUCUUAUUUAAUUAUAAAAUUUAAUUUUUUUAUUAAAAAGUUAAAAUAUUUUAAAAAGACGAGAAGACCCUAUAGAGUUUAAUAAAUUAUUAGAUUGAGAUUAUAUGUAAAUAAAUUUAAAAUUAAAUUAUUUAUUUUGUUGGGGUGACAAAAAAAUACAUUAAACUUUUUUUUUUAUUUAAAACAUUUAUAAGUGAUUAAGUGAUCCAAUAAUAUUGAUUAUAAGAAAAAAUUACCUUAGGGAUAACAGCGUAAUUUUUUUUUUUAGUUCAAAUAAGAAAAAGAGUUUGCGACCUCGAUGUUGGAUUAAGAUAAAAUUUAAAUGUAGAAGUU
rnacentral:rRNA from 1 species